GCCGGAUUGCCGGACAUGUAAGGACGGGCUGGACUUAUCUGGCCUGACUCAAAAUCCGGUGGUGCGAAAGCACCGUGUCGGUUCGAGCCCGACCUCCGGUACCA
rnacentral:tRNA from 1 species